rnacentral:misc_RNA from 1 species
GAAAAGAAAAAAUCAAAAAAUAAAGAAAUAUUAUUGUUGUCUAAUAUAGAAAAUAAUCUAAGUAAUUGGAAGUUAUCUCCCAUCUCUUCUAAUCUUAUCUAUAAAUCUAAUACCAGUUUUCGGUUUAAAUCUGAUUAUGUAGUAAAAACUGUAGAACAAGUCUCUCCUAUCCAUGAAGGAUUACAUUCCAAUAUAGGAAUGUGAUUAUGUUUUCUGAAUUUCG